rnacentral:lncRNA from 1 species
AGAAGCUCACCGUAAAGGAAACUAUGUUGCUGCCAUUUGACGUCAAAGCGCAUCGAUAACUGAUUCAGUAAUUGGCAACUACUCCUCUAUCAAUGUGUAUGCACAUGGAGACUUGGACUGUCAGAUAAGGGUAAGUGACUAAAUUUUUAUCAUUGCAAUAUGCACUGCUAAAGAUAAAUAGUGUUUACUGGCCCUCUAAAAGAGUAGUCUUGACUUGGAAAAGGAAAAUGGUUUCAUCUGAUCUUAACAUGUAAACACUCAGAAUAAACCUCAGCAGAAAUGCUCACUUUCAGAGUUUUAGACAAGGCUAUUCCAAGGCCAGAAAUUUAUUUCUGCAUACAGCAAAGGCCAGUUUCCUGUUUCAUGCUCUAUAUACAGACAUCCUCAACAAAUAAUACCUGAUGGAGAUCCCUGUCUGUUUCUGAGAAACAAAGUGUUAAGACUGACAUGGGUCAGUGAAAUCAUUUUUUGCUCUAGAUCAUGCCCAAGAAGAAGAGGAUAUUAAGUCUCUCUCCCAGGAUUUGAAAUCUGUCCUGAAUCCGUGGCCCAAGCAGAUGCUGGUAUGCUGCUUGGUAUUUGGGGAUUUCUUGCUGAUGAAUAUGAUAUUUGCUUGGCUGCAAAGAGAAACCAGAGAAAAAUAAAGAAGUGCUUUUGUUGGUAACAUAUUGUGGGUUCAGAAUGGUGCUUUAGUGACUCACUUGAAAAA